rnacentral:rRNA from 1 species
AGCUUUAAGUUUUAUUUAAAGUGAGACCUGCCCAGUGCUAAUUAGUAAACGGCCGCAGUACCUUGACUGUGCUAAGGUAGCAUAAUCAGUUGGCUUUUAAAUGGAGUCGGGAAUGAAUGGAUUAAUAGGGUUAAGCUGUCUCUACUAUAUUAAAUUGAACUUACUUAUUAGGUGAAAAUGCCUAAGUUGUAAAAGAAAAAAGACGAGAAGACCCUAGGAGUUUUAACUAGAUGCUAUUUAUUAUAGUUAAUGUUUUUGUUGGGGCGACAUUGGAACAAUUUUAAACUUCCUUUAUGUUUAUAGGCCGACUUUGUAUGUAAAUCUAAACUACCCUAGGGAUAACAGCGUAAUUCUUUUUGAGCUUGCGACCUCGAUGUUGGACUAGGAAUUUGGUGGGCCAGCCGCCUA